CCUACGGGUGGCAGCAGUGAGGAAUAUUGGUCAAUGGUCGGGAGACUGAACCAGCCAAGCCGCGUGAGGGAGGAAGGUACAGAGUAUCGUAAACCUCUUUUGUCAGGGAACAAAGGCGGGGACGUGUCCCCGGAUGAGUGUACCUGAAGAAAAAGCAUCGGCUAACUCCGUGCCAGCAGCCGCGGUAAUACGGAGGAUGCGAGCGUUAUCCGGAUUUAUUGGGUUUAAAGGGUGCGCAGGCGGUCUGUUAAGUCAGCGGUAAAAGCCCGGGGCACAACCCCGGCCCGCCGUUGAAACGGGCAGUCUCGAGUUGGAGAGAAGUAUGCGGAAUGCGGGGUGUAGAGGUGAAAUGCAUAGAUAUCGCGCAGAACUCCGAUUGCGAAGGCAGCAUGCCGGCUCCACACUGACGCUGAGGCACGAAAGCGUGGGUAUCGAACAGGAUUAGAUACCCCAGUAGUC
rnacentral:rRNA from 1 species